UACAGAAGCCUCAAGCGUUACCCGGAAUCACUGGGCGUAAAGGGUGCGUAGGCGGUUAUAUUAGUCGGAUGUUAAAUCCCGGGGCUCAACCCCGGAAUCGCAUUCGAAACGGUAUGACUAGGAGGAGUGAGAGGUGUGCGGAACUCAUGGUGUAGGGGUGAAAUCCGUUGAUAUCAUGGGGAACACCAAAUGCGAAGGCAGCACACUGGCACUCUCUCGACGCUGAGGCACGAAAGAGUGGGUAGCGAAUGGG
rnacentral:misc_RNA from 1 species